AGAGUUUGAUCCUGGCUCAGAACGAACGCUGGCGGCGUGCUUAACACAUGCAAGUCGCGUGCGCAGUUUCCGUAGCAAUACGGGGAUGGGCGCACGGCGCACGGGUGCGUAACACGUGGGCAAUCUGCCCUCCGAUGGGGAAUACCCCCGCGAAAGCGGGACUAAUUCCGCAUAACAUUCCUUGGAUUAACUUUCGAGGAUUCAAAGCAGCAAUGCGUCGGAGGAGGAGCCCGCGCCCGAUUAGCUAGUUGGUGAGGUAACGGCUCACCAAGGCAAUGAUCGGUAGCUGGUCUGAGAGGAUGGCCAGCCACACUGGAACUGAGACACGGUCCAGACUCCUACGGGAGGCAGCAGUGGGGAAUCUUGCACAAUGGGCGAAAGCCUGAUGCAGCGACGCCGCGUGGGGGAUGAAGCUUUUCGGAGUGUAAACCCCUUUCGACUGGGACGAAUGCCUCGCAAGAGGAGUGACGGUACCAGUAUAAGAAGCCCCGGCUAACUACGUGCCAGCAGCCGCGGUAAGACGUAGGGGGCCAGCGUUGUUCGGAAUUACUGGGUGUAAAGGGUUCGUAGGCGGUGUGGCAAGUCGGGAGUGAAAUCUCUGGGCUCAACCCAGAGACUGCUUCCGAAACUGCUGUGCUUGAGUUAGAGAGGCUCGUGGAAUUGCAGGUGUAGCGGUGAAAUGCGUAGAUAUCGCAGGACCCCGUGGCGAAAGCGGCGAGCUGGAUCACUACUGACGCUGAGGAACGAAAGCUAGGGGAGCAAACAGGAUUAGAUACCCUAGUAGUCC
rnacentral:rRNA from 1 species